ACUCUGAAGCGCAGGAAGCGCUCAGGAUCAGGAUGAUCGACCAUUGCCAGGAAGGCGCUCGAAUGGAAUCGGAUAGGUCAGAAAAACCCGCUUCGGCGGGUUUUU
rnacentral:sRNA from 1 species